UACGUAGGGAGCGAGCGUUGUCCGGAUUUACUGGGUGUAAAGGGUGCGUAGGCGGGGAAACAAGUUGAAUGUGAAAUCCAUGGGCUUAACCCAUGAACUGCUUUUGAAACUGCAGGACUUGAGUGAAGUAGAGGUAGGCGGAAUUCCCGGUGUAGCGGUGAAAUGCGUAGAGAUCGGGAGGAACACCAGUGGCGAAGGCGGCCUACUGGGCUUUAACUGACGCUGAGGCACGAAAGCGUGGGUAGCAA
rnacentral:rRNA from 1 species